GAUAUUUUUGUUUUCAAUGACUUUGGUGUGAUGAUUAUAUGUCUAUAUAUACUGGUUGUAAGGUAUGAGAUGUUCUUCUUUCUUUUUACUCUUUAUCACAUAAAAUACAAAUGUUUGCUUAAAUGAAAAAAAACAAUAAAUAGAAAAAAUCAUUUAUAUCACAUUUUAUUUUAGUUAGAUUUUUGACUACUUAUGAAAUCAAUAGCGAAAUAAAAGAUAAAAUAAUCAGUCAGUUUACUUAGCCAUUUCAUUUAAAUAAUAGAUAUGAGGUCAAGAUUUGUAGGUGAUACAAAAAGAAACUAAGCAUGUAAUAAUCACAUAAAUAAUACACAAUAGCCAAUUAGUCAAAUGUAAUUAAUGCAUUUUUGAUUUGUUUGGUCAACAGAAAAAAAUAGGCAUUUGACUAUUGAAAAAAAAUCAUUAGCUAGUUAUAGGAAAAAAAUCAAAUGUAUCUUUGGUUAACCUGUCUAUUUAAAUAGAGAGGACUGAGAUUAAAACAUUAUCCUUUUUCUUAGAAUAACAUUAUUUUAAUAAUAUUGUUUAGUAAUAUAGUUCAAAGUUAAAUAUAGAAAAUCCACUGAAUAAAAGUCUCAUUCAAAGAACGACAUUUUAUGUUGUAUUAAUAGAGUUUUAUUUAGCUAUGUAAUUCUUAUACAUGAUAAUUUCUGGCUAGUUUCCAUUGAAUAAACCAAAUUCAAUUAACGAUUCUGUAUAUUAAAAAUUCAUCUUUAGGGUAUGAUUGGUAAAUGAAGUUAGUUUUAAUUUUUUUUUGCUGUAAGAUUAUAAGUGUAAACCUUUUGCUGUAGAUUUUUUUUAGAACAACAUAACUUUUUGCUGUAGAUAUGUAUGAUAUCUUACUGUAUUUGGUCAUGUAAAUUAAUGAUUUUUAUCCUCUUCACAUUUUAGUUUUCAAAUAUGUGUCCUAAAAAGUAAGCCAGAGACUUAUUAUCUGAGAUCUGGAUCUGUUCUAAAAGAAUAUUCAGGGUGUCCAAAUUCAGAUCUAGAUAGUAAAAUUUUAGAUCUGUAAAAUCGAAUCCGGAUAUAUUGAUUUUUAGGUCUAGAUAUCUAGUUUCAGAAAUUUACUUUAAAAAUAUUUUUAAUUUUUAAGUUUAUUAAUAAUUAUAGUGAUUUAUUAAUAUUUAUACAUAAAAUUCAUCUUAUAAUAUUAGAUUUAAAUUCUAAAUAUUAUAUAUAUUUUAUAAAUCUUCUAUAAAUAAUCCAAAGCUCCCUUUACCUAUGAAGUGAAAUGCUUCGGAAAACAGUCACUGGGCGUUAGUUAGUGGGUUAAUGUUAGAUUGGGCUUCGUGGUUUUGUAGGUUCUUCCAAACCGACAUGGAUAGUGCGAACGGGUCAAAAACUCGGAUGCUUAAGAAAACAACCCAUGAUUGUCAUGUAGUUGGCGAAUGGAAACGUUCCAAUUAAAUUUGGUAACUACAACUUGGACGUGGCCUGUCUGUUUCCUAUUGAAAAAGCCGUCGACAGUUAAUUAUGGAACCAUAUAAUGGUUUUGUUCAAAAAAAAAAGGACCAUAUAAUCAGGGGCGGAGGCAGUGAAGAAGAAGUGGGGUCAGCUGACCCUACUAUUUUUUUAAAUAUAUUUAUGUUUGUUUAAGAAAAAAAUUAUUGACCCCAUUAAAAUAUAAAAUUUGACCCCACAAAAGAUAUAAUAUACUAAAAUAAUUACAAUACAUUAAAAAUUAAAGUUAUAAUUUGUAGUUUUUAAUGGUUUAUAAAUUAUGUUUUUGAAAAAAAAAAUUAUGACUCCGGUAUAAAAAAAUUUUGGUUCCGCCACUGCAUAUAAUCGUUCUUGCAUUCUCAAGUUGAUGCAAUUUUAGUUUAUAAUAAUCUUCAAAAGUAAUCUAUUAUAUAAUAUGAGAGUUUCUCUCCUCCUGAUGCGACACGUCAGCGAUCUGUGGGUUUCACUUUUUAAAAGUGUGAAAAAUGUCAAAUAUGUGGUUCAAACCCAGGUUAUUGAGAUAUAAGCACUCACAACUAUACCAUUGUACUAAAGGAUACUUUGUACAUUGAUGGUCGAAACUAAUAUAAUAAAAGAGUUUCUUUCCUCCUGAUGCGACACGUCAGCGGUCUGUGGGUCCUACUUUUUAAAAGUGUGAAAAAUGUCAAAUAUGUUGUUCAAAUCCGGAUUAUUGAGAUAUAAUCACUCACAACUACACCAUUGCACUAAAUGAUACUUUGGUAUAUUGAUGGUCGAAACUAAUAUAUAUUAUAAAGGUCGGAAACUAAUAUAAUAUUGUGGACCCCACCUCUUUUUUUUUAAUUGAUGGUUAACGAAUGGACUUCGACAAAAAGUGGCUUUGGGCUUAUUGAUUUUAUGUUUAUUAGGCUUUGUAUCUGUCCAAAGUGGUGAUACAGACAAAGCUAAGAAGAUUAGGGAAGCCACCAUCUUCACCAUCUCCUUCGUCGCUUGCGAUUCCCCUUCCGGCAAUCAGCUAUUAUGGUCGAUCUUUAAGGCUCUACGCACGUUUUGCGCCUACCAAACGCUUAGUUUCUCCUCUAACGCCUUCAGAGCUCUCAUAUAUAUAGAAUCCCUCGAGGUAAAAGCUCCAUCUUGUCUCAAACUUUUCUUUCUCAGUUUUCCGAUCGCUUUACUUUCUCACAUCCGUCACGAAAAUGACUUAUCCAGCCGCUUCAGCCGCCGUUCCCUACUUCACCUUCACUCUCUCCACGUUGGAAGGUCCACUCAGUCCAUUGUUGGUCGGCUCAUCCGAUUCUAGGAUUUCAGGAACAUUAACAAGAAUGGAGAGUUUAUGGGCAUCACCAUUCUCCUCCUUGAUGAACUGGUGAUGAUUGUUUUUUAACUUAUUUUUUUAUCACUUUAACUUUGCUUUGCUUAUUCUUUGUUCAUAUAUGAAACGUGUCUUCAUCUUUUUGUUUUUGUUUUGUCUAUGAAUUUUUUUAUGAACAACUAAUGAUUUUUCUCUGUUUUUCUUACAGGAUUCUGUGAUCUACGGUUUCAUCCCUGCAAUCUCCAAACAAAACAAGAAAACUGAAUGAAUUAUGUCUUUAGCAACCGAAUCUAAAAGAAAUAUUUUUACCAAAAAAGAAAAAUCUAAAAGAAAUAAAAGACAUCUUACUUAACAAAUUAAAACUUUUUUUUUUUGCAGAUUCCGACGACGACGAAGCACCCGAGGACCAACGACAAUGGAAUGAUGCGGACGAAGCCUAACUGAUGGAUCCCACAGGUGAUGCUGUCCCGACGACGGAGAAAAAAAAAAGAAAGAUAACCUAACUUUUUUUUUAUUUUCAGUUUUUAAGUUCAAAUCAUGUUUUAGACAUAGAACCCAACAUAAUUUGAGCUCAAACAUUUUAAACCCACAAUUAUUUUUUCAUAAUGUAAAAAUGUCAACCUUCGUUUAUGUUUUGUUAAACUAUUUUAAUUUUUAUGUUUUGUUAAACUAUUUCACACAGGGGGCAGAUCUCCUUAGAAGGGGAGCCACUCGCCACGAUGCUUCCAGUUUCACCAUUCUUGAAACUCUUAUGAACCACAAAGCCAAUAUAAGAGCUUUGUUUCAAUCCAACGGCUGGAUUUUGUCACAGACCACCGCUAAGCCUGAAGAGGGAAGAGAAGUGGAGUGCUGCGUUUUGGAAGAUGGUUACUUGGAGUUUACAAGAUGAAGAUGGAACCCGUGACGAGGAAGACGAGGAAAAGUGUUACUUGGAAUAUCCUAACGUUGAGGAUGUAGACAAUGUGUGAUCUUAGCGAUGAAGAUUAGUGUAGCUUUAAUAUAUGCUACUACGGUCUUUGAGCUCCCUAACAAGUACUAGCAAACAAUGUGUAUUUUGAAAAAAUAAAAUAAUUUUGUA